rnacentral:rRNA from 1 species
CCUACGGGAGGCAGCAGUGGGGAAUAUUGCGCAAUGGGCGAAAGCCUGACGCAGCGACGCCGCGUGAGGGAUGACGGUCUUAGGAUCGUAAACCUCUGUCAGCAGGGAGGAACGGUCACUUAGCUAAUCAGCAGUGAAUUGACGGUACCUGCAAAGGAAGCACCGGCUAACUCCGUGCCAGCAGCCGCGGUAAUACGGAGGGUGCGAGCGUUAAUCGGAAUUACUGGGCGUAAAGCGCUCGUAGGCGGUAUGUCAAGUCAAGGGUGAAAUCCCCGCGCUCAACGUGGGAACUGCCUUUGAAACUGGAAAACUGGAGAGUGUGAGAGGAUAGUGGAAUUCCAGGUGUAGGAGUGAAAUGCGUAGAGAUCUGGCGGAACAUCAGUGGCGAAGGCGACUAUCUGGCACAUAACUGACGCUGAGGAGCGAAAGCGUGGGUAGCAAACAGGAUUAGAUACCCCUGUAGUC